ACGGCCAGGAGUGGACUGUCAUUGCCAGCAUGAGAGUGGGGCGGCAGUUCUCCAACUGCAGUUUCUCAUCAACGAGGGGGCUCUGGUCACAGCUUGUGCGGACGAUACGCUGCAUCUCUGGAAUUUGCGACAGCGACGUCCGGCUAUCCUACACUCUCUCAAAUUCAACAGAGAGCGGAUCACAUUUUGUCAUCUUCCGUUUCAAAGUAAGUGGCUUUACGUGGGGACAGAACGUGGAAAUACACACAUAGUGAACAUCGAAUCCUUCAUUUUAUCUGGAUAUGUCAUCAUGUGGAACAAGGCCAU